UACGAAGGGGGCUAGCGUUGCUCGGAAUCACUGGGCGUAAAGCGCACGUAGGCGGAUCUUUAAGUCAGGGGUGAAAUCCUGGAGCUCAACUCCAGAACUGCCUUUGAUACUGGGGAUCUCGAGUCCGGGAGAGGUGAGUGGAACUCCGAGUGUAGAGGUGAAAUUCGUAGAUAUUCGGAAGAACACCAGUGGCGAAGGCGGAUCUCUGGGCCUUACCUGACGCUGAGGCGCGAAAGCUAGGGGAGCGAACAGG
rnacentral:rRNA from 1 species